AGUGAACGCUGGCGGUAGGCCUAACACAUGCAAGCCGAACGGCAGCACAGUAAGAGCUUGCUCUUACGGGUGGCGAGUGGCGGACGGGUGAGGAAUACAUCGGAAUCUACUUUUUCGUGGGGGAUAACGUAGGGAAACUUACGCUAAUACCGCAUACGACCUACGGGUGAAAGCAGGGGAUCUUCGGACCUUGCGCGAUUGAAUGAGCCGAUGUCGGAUUAGCUAGUUGGCGGGGUAAAGGCCCACCAAGGCGACGAUCCGUAGCUGGUCUGAGAGGAUGAUCAGCCACCCUGGAACUGGGACACGGUCCAGACUCCUACGGGAGGCAGCAGUGGGGAAUAUUGGACAAUGGGCGCAAGCCUGAUCCAGCCAUACCGCGUGGGUGAAGAAGGCCUUCGGGUUGUAAAGCCCUUUUGUUGGGAAAGAAAAGCAGCAGGUUAAUACCCCGCUGUUCUGACGGUACCCAAAGAAUAAGCACCGGCUAACUUCGUG
rnacentral:rRNA from 1 species